rnacentral:rRNA from 1 species
UACGUAGGAGACGAGCGUUGUCCGGAGUUACCGGGCGUAAAGGGUGCGCAGGCGGCCCUGCGCGUCGCGAGUGAAAUCUCCCGGCUCAACUGGGAGGGUGGUCGCGAGACGGCAGGGCUUGAGGCUCGGUGAGGGGCGUGGAAUUCCGGGUGGAGCGGUGAAAUGCAUAGAUAUGUCACAGAACACCAAUUGCGAAGGCAGCUUGCUAUGGUAUAAUUGACGCUGAGGCACGAAAGCGUGGGGAUCAAACAGG